rnacentral:rRNA from 1 species
GACAGAGGGGGCAAGCGUUGCUCGGAAUUACUGGGCGUAAAGGGCGCGUAGGCGGCCUCCUAAGUCAGACGUGAAAUCCCUCGGCUCAACCGGGGAACUGCGUCUGAUACUGGGAGGCUUGAAUCCGGGAGAGGGAUGUGGAAUUCCAGGUGUAGCGGUGAAAUGCGUAGAUAUUGGGAGGAACACCAGUGGCGAAGGCGGCUCACUGGACCGGAACUGACGCUGAGGCGCGAAAGCGUGGGGAGCAAACGGG